rnacentral:misc_RNA from 1 species
UGAAGCGCGAAAUGUAGUGUGAAUCGCAGGACAUUGUGAAUCAUCGAAUCUUUGAACGCACAUUGCGCCUCCCUUCACGGGGAGGCAUGCCUGUCUGAGCGUCAUUCGAACCUAUAGGCCCGUCGGGGCCUGUGUUGGGCGUCGCGCCAGCGCGCGUGGCCUGGAACGGAUCGGUCGAUGGAGCGGACGCGAUCCACUAGGACUGACAACGCUCUGAAGACCCUAAAUCUCAGAUUUGACCUCAGAUCAGGUAGGGACACCGCCUGAACUUAA